rnacentral:rRNA from 1 species
GACAUUGGUGACAGGUGGUGGAUGGUCGUCGUCAGCUGUUGUCGGGGGAGGUUGAGUUAGGUCCCGCACCGGGCGCAGCCCUUGUCUUUAGUUGGCAUCAUUGAGCUGGGCACUCUGGAGAGACUGCCAGGGAUAGCCUGGAGGAAGGUGGGGAUGACGUCAAAUCAUCAUGCCCCCUAUGCUUAGGGCGACACACGUGCUACAAUGGGUAGUACAGAGGGUUGCCAAGCCGUAAGGUGG